rnacentral:lncRNA from 1 species
GAUUAUUUUCAGUGUCCUGUUAAUUAUAUCAGUAUUAAGUCAAGAGACACAAAUGAGAUUGUUCUUCAAGAGAAAAGAGUUGAGCAUUAGAUGAGCAUUACUGAGAUGAACUGAGAUCAGAUCAAGAGUCUGAAAUGUUACUUCUGGUGAACUUUAAUUCUUUGAAUGUUUGUGUAAUAUGUGUCUGAUUUUAAUUAAUGGUGUGUGUGUGUGUGUGUGAAGGAGAAAGAAUGUGAUCUUUAUAAUAACAGACCUGAAGUGAACAUCAUUAAUGGGACUGUGAUAAUAAAGCGUGUGAUCAGAGCAGAUUCAGGGAAUUACACAUUAACACUCACUAACUCAGACGGCACAGAUACAUUUCGAGGAGAUCUUCAAGUGAUUGUUGAAGCUGCUAUUGGCUCAGUGGAAGUGUCUGUCAUCUGCUCCUCCAAUCAGAGGUCAGUGUUCUGCUCCUCUGAGGGGGAUCAGCUCCUCUACAGCUGGACUCUGAAUGGAGAUCCACCGAUGGAUGGAAACAGCAGCAUUGAUCUGGAUGAGGGAACUGAUGGAAACAUCAGCUGCAGCGUGAAGAACCACGUCAGUCACACACAGAAGACCAUUAGACUCGAACCCUGUCCUGUGUCUGUGGUGUUUGUGCUGGCCUGGGGUUUCCAGCUGAUGGUUCUGUUGGGUCUGUUAGGAGGUUUUCACAUCUACAUGAGACACACGUCAGGAAAGAAAGAGGAAGAUCAGAAAGUGAGAAUGAGCAGAUUUAGAGAGUGACAUGAACACACAGCAGAAGAUUCAUGAGAGCAGCAGGAGAUCUUCACAUCUGUGAGAAAUGACUUCAGAAUCUCAGCGAUUCUCAC